rnacentral:lncRNA from 1 species
AACAACUACUAAUUAAACAUUCUUUUUGAAAUCUUCCACGAGAUGCGCUAAAAAAUAAAUCUUAGAAGUUUUUUUUUAUAAGAAUCUACUAAUUGUAGAAUCCUUUUGAAACAUUCAUAUUAAUUCUCAAGAUACAUGCUAGAAAAAAAAUCUUAGUGAUCCUCAUAAUUUUUACAAAAUACCAUCAAUCGAUUCGAUAGAAUCUAAUUGUACGUAAUCGAUAAUAAUAGCCAUUAC